CGGGCCUUCUUUCUGCCGUGACUUCCAGAAGGGGAACCGGGGCUGGGGUUUGGCAGAGGGAGCGUGGCCACCAGGAGGGCCAAAUCAACACCCUCAUUUCUCAGAUGGGAAAAGUGAGGCUCAAGAGUGGAAGUGACCUACCCAAAGUCCCACAGCGCAUUAUGGCGAGAGCCGGCUCCGGACUUCUUCCUUCUGCCACACCCUCCCCUGUUCCAACGUUGAAGUCACAAGCCGGGACGGCCCCGCUCACAGGAAGCAAGGCUGAUUCUGGAGACACACCAUCCUCAUCGGCCCCUGAAGGAGGCAAGGUUGCUGCCUAAGGAAGAAGAUAAUCCAGGAGACUCAUUCUCAUUGGCAUGGCUUUGCCUGUCUGGAUUCCUCAUUUCAAUAGGAGGUUUAUAUCGAUCGCAAAAGCACGUACCUUAUUAUACGUCAUAUAUCAUCUGAGCCUUCACGCUCCAGAUAGGCCAAAAGCCCAUCCGGGGCCUGUGAGGCCCUGUGAGGCUGGCCCAGUCCACUUCCUUGACCUCCGUCCUUGCAGCCACUCUGACCUGGAUCCCUGUGCUCUGGGCCUCCAGAGCUGGUCCCUCGACAGCCACCCUCUGCUCUCAUGCCUUACCUUUCCGC